rnacentral:rRNA from 1 species
AGAGUUUGAUCAUGGCUCAGGACGAACGCUGGCGGCGUGCUUAACACAUGCAAGUCGAACGGAAAGGCCCUUCGGGGUGCUCGAGUGGCGAACGGGUGAGUAACACGUGGGUGAUCUGCCCUGCACUUUGGGAUAAGCCUGGGAAACUGGGUCUAAUACCGAAUAUGACCACGCUCUUCAUGGGGUGUGGUGGAAAGCUUUUGCGGUGUGGGAUGGGCCCGCGGCCUAUCAGCUUGUUGGUGGGGUAAUGGCCUACCAAGGCGACGACGGGUAGCCGGCCUGAGAGGGUGACCGGCCACACUGGGACUGAGAUACGGCCCAGACUCCUACGGGAGGCAGCAGUGGGGAAUAUUGCACAAUGGGCGCAAGCCUGAUGCAGCGACGCCGCGUGAGGGAUGACGGCCUUCGGGUUGUAAACCUCUUUCACCAGGGACGAAGCGCAAGUGACGGUACCUGGAGAAGAAGCACCGGCCAACUACGUGCCAGCAGCCGCGGUAAUACGUAGGGUGCGAGCGUUGUCCGGAAUUACUGGGCGUAAAGAGCUCGUAGGUGGUUUGUCGCGUUGUUCGUGAAAACUCACAGCUUAACUGUGGGCGUGCGGGCGAUACGGGCAGACUAGAGUACUGCAGGGGAGACUGGAAUUCCUGGUGUAGCGGUGGAAUGCGCAGAUAUCAGGAGGAACACCGGUGGCGAAGGCGGGUCUCUGGGCAGUAACUGACGCUGAGGAGCGAAAGCGUGGGGAGCGAACAGGAUUAGAUACCCUGGUAGUCCAA